rnacentral:ncRNA from 3 species
CACAUUCAUUGCUGUCGGUGGGUU